rnacentral:rRNA from 1 species
AGAGUUGAUUAUGGCUCAGAUUGAACGCUGGCGGCAUGCCUUACACAUGCAAGUCGAACGGCAGCACGGGAGCAAUCCUGGUGGCGAGUGGCGAACGGGUGAGUAAUGUAUCGGAACGUACCUUUCAGUGGGGGAUAACGUAGCGAAAGUUACGCUAAUACCGCAUAUUCUGUGAGCAGGAAAGCAGGGGAUCGCAAGACCUUGCGCUGAUUGAGCGGCCGAUAUCAGAUUAGCUAGUUGGUGAGGUAAAGGCUCACCAAGGCGACGAUCUGGAGCGGGUCUGAGAGGAUGAUCAGCCACAUUGGGACUGAGACACGGCCCAAACUCCUACGGGAGGCAGCAGUGGGGAAUAUUGGACAAUGGGCGCAAGCCUGAUCCAGCCAUGCCGCGUGAGUGAUGAAGGCCCUAGGGUUGUAAAGCUCUUUUGUGCGGGAAGAUAAUGACGGUACCGCAAGAAUAAGCCCCGGCUAACUUCGUGCCAGCAGCCGCGGUAAUACA